UUGGCUGCGAGAGGCCGGUGCGGGCGGCACUCGCGCGGCCGGUGGCGGUUAGGGCGCCAGAGCUGGCCGCGGACAUGACGCCUGAGGACCCAGAGGAAACCCAGCCGCUUCUGGGGCCUCCUGGCGGCAGCGCGCCGCGCAGCCGCCGCGUCUUCCUCGCCGCCUUCGCCGCUGCCCUGGGCCCACUCAGCUUCGGCUUCGCGCUCGGCUACAGCUCCCCGGCCAUCCCGAGCCUGCAGCGCGCCGCGCCCCCGGCCCCGCGCCUGGACGCCGCCGCCGCCUCCUGGUUCGGGGCCGUCGUGACCCUGGGUGCCGCGGCGGGGGGAGUGCUGGGCGGCUGGCUGGUGGACCGCGCCGGGCGCAAGCUGAGCCUCCUGCUGUGCUCCAUGCCCUUCGUGGCCGGCUUUGCGGUCAUCACCGCGGCCCAGGACGUGUGGAUGCUGCUGGGGGGCCGCCUCCUCACCGGCCUGGCCUGCGGUGUUGCCUCCCUAGUGGCCCCGGUCUACAUCUCCGAAAUCGCCUACCCAGCAGUCCGGGGGUUGCUCGGCUCCUGUGUGCAGCUGAUGGUCGUUGUCGGCAUCCUCCUGGCCUACCUGGCAGGCUGGGUGCUGGAGUGGCGCUGGCUGGCCGUGCUGGGCUGCGUGCCCCCCUCCCUCAUGCUGCUGCUCAUGUGCUUCAUGCCCGAGAGCCCACGCUUCCUGCUGACUCAGCACAGGCGCCAGGAGGCCAUGGCCGCCCUGCGGUUCCUGUGGGGCUCCGAGCAGGGCUGGGAAGACCCCCCUAUCGGGGCUGAGCAGAGCUUCCACCUGGCCCUGCUGCGGCAGCCCGGCAUCUACAAGCCCUUCAUCAUUGGUGUCUCCCUGAUGGCCUUCCAGCAGCUGUCAGGCGUCAACGCCGUCAUGUUCUAUGCAGAGACCAUCUUUGAAGAGGCCAAGUUCAAGGACAGCAGCCUGGCCUCGGUCAUCGUGGGUGUCAUCCAGGUGCUGUUCACAGCUGUGGCAGCUCUCAUCAUGGACAGAGCAGGGCGGAGGCUGCUCCUGGUCUUGUCAGGUGUGGUCAUGGUGUUCAGCACGAGUGCCUUUGGCGCCUACUUCAAGCUGACCCAGGGUGGCGCUGGCAACUCCUCGCACGUGGCUCUCUCGGCGCCUGUCUCCGCAGAGCCUGUUGAUGCCAGCGUGGGGCUGGCCUGGCUGGCUGUGGGCAGCAUGUGCCUCUUCAUCGCCGGCUUUGCGGUGGGCUGGGGGCCCAUCCCCUGGCUCCUCAUGUCAGAGAUCUUCCCUCUGCAUGUCAAGGGCGUGGCGACAGGCAUCUGCGUCCUCACCAACUGGCUCAUGGCCUUUCUCGUGACCAAGGAGUUCAGCAGCCUCAUGACCUGCAGCCCCAGCGCCUGCCCACCUUGGCAUCUCCCAUUAAGUCACAUCAUGAGGGCAGAGAGCAGGGGCCUGUUUUUGCGACACUUGAAGUACAGCGUGGACCAGGCAGAGCAAGGCGCCGCAUCACAUCAGUUCCAGAAGAUCUGCAGCAGCUGCUCCGAUUUCAGUGAAACGUGUGAAACCGUGCACAGGACUUUGAACAACUCUCAGCUGUAGCAAAUCCAGUUUCCCCUCGGGCCUUCCAGAAGCAGGGUCCUGUCUCCGCGCAGGAGCAUCUCCCGUGGCAAUGGCCGCACCUCGGCAUCCGCAUUACCAGUGCUUGCGUGGCAGUCCACUAAUCGGACACGCAUGACAUUUGGUGCUGUGACUCGGAUCGGGGGACCUCCCUUGGGAGAUCAAUCCCCUGUCCUCCUGCUCUUUGCUCCAUAAGAAAAAUCCACCCACAAGCUCGGGUCCUCAGACCAGCCCAAGAAACACCUCACCAAUUUUAAAUCGGGUAAGCGGCCACUUUUUACUCUUCUCCAACCUCUCAUUAUCCCCCAACCUCUUUCUUUCAAUUUCGGCGCCACCCUUCAGUCUCUCCCUUCGCUUAAUUUCAGUUCCUUUCCUUUUCCAGUAGAGACAGAGGAGACUUUUUUUUUUUUUUUUUUUUUUUU